rnacentral:rRNA from 1 species
GACGAACGCUGGCGGCGUGCUUAACACAUGCAAGUCGAACGGAAAGGCCCUGCUUUUGUGGGGUGCUCGAGUGGCGAACGGGUGAGUAACACGUGAGUAACCUGCCCUUGACUUUGGGAUAACUUCAGGAAACUGGGGCUAAUACCGGAUAGGAGCUCCUGCUGCAUGGUGGGGGUUGGAAAGUUUCGGCGUUUGGGGAUGGACUCGCGGCUUAUCAGCUUGUUGGUGGGGUAGUGGCUUACCAAGGCUUUGACGGGUAGCCGGCCUGAGAGGGUGACCGGCCACAUUGGGACUGAGAGACGGACCAGAAUCCUACGGGAGGCAGCAGUGGGGAAUAUUGCACAAUGGGCGGAAGCCUGAUGCAGCAACGCCGCGUGCGGGAUGACGGCCUUCGGGGUGUAAACCGCUUUCGCCGGUGACGAAGCGUGAGUGACGGUAAUGGGUAAAGAAGCACCGGCUAACUACGUG